rnacentral:rRNA from 1 species
GUCGAGCGAACGGACGAGAAGCUUGCUUCUCUGAUGUUAGCGGCGGACGGGUGAGUAACACGUGGAUAACCUACCUAUAAGACUGGGAUAACUUCGGGAAACCGGAGCUAAUACCGGAUAAUAUUUUGAACCGCAUGGUUCAAAAGUGAAAGACGGUCUUGCUGUCACUUAUAGAUGGAUCCGCGCUGCAUUAGCUAGUUGGUAAGGUAACGGCUUACCAAGGCAACGAUGCAUAGCCGACCUGAGAGGGUGAUCGGCCACACUGGAACUGAGACACGGUCCAGACUCCUACGGGAGGCAGCAGUAGGGAAUCUUCCGCAAUGGGCGAAAGCCUGACGGAGCAACGCCGCGUGAGUGAUGAAGGUCUUCGGAUCGUAAAACUCUGUUAUUAGGGAAGAACAUAUGUGUAAGUAACUGUGCACAUCUUGACGGUACCUAAUCAGAAAGCCACGGCUAACUACGUGCCAGCAGCCGCGGUAAUACGUAGGUGGCAAGCGUUAUCCGGAAUUAUUGGGCGUAAAGCGCGCGUAGGCGGUUUUUUAAGUCUGAUGUGAAAGCCCACGGCUCAACCGUGGAGGGUCAUUGGAAACUGGAAAACUUGAGUGCAGAAGAGGAAAGUGGAAUUCCAUGUGUAGCGGUGAAAUGCGCAGAGAUAUGGAGGA